rnacentral:rRNA from 1 species
UACGGGGGGGGGCAAGCGUUGUUCGGAAUUACUGGGCGUAAAGCGCGUGUAGGCGGCUUUUCAAGUCGGACGUGAAAGCCCCAGGCUUAACCUGGGAAUUGCGCUCGAUACUGUUGAGCUAGAGUGUGGAAGGGGCUACUGGAAUUCCGUGUGUAGCGGUGAAAUGCGUAGAUAUCGGAAGGAACAUCAGUGGCGAAAGCGACUUCCUGGACCAAUACUGACGCUCAUGUGCGAAAGCGUGGGGAGCAAACAGG